rnacentral:rRNA from 1 species
UACGGAGGGUGCAAGCGUUAUCCGGAUUCACUGGGUUUAAAGGGUGCGUAGGUGGCGAGGUAAGUCGGAUGUGAAAGCUCGGAGCUCAACUCCGAAAUGGCAUUGGAAACUACCUUGCUUGAGGGUUGGAGGGGGGACUGGAAUACUUGGUGUAGCAGUGAAAUGCGUAGAUAUCAAGUGGAACACCAGUGGCGAAGGCGAGUCCCUGGACAACUCCUGACACUGAGGCACGAAAGCUAGGGGAGCAAACAGG